AGUGAACGCUGGCGGUAGGCCUAACACAUGCAAGUCGAACGGCAGCACAGUAAGAGCUUGCUCUUACGGGUGGCGAGUGGCGGACGGGUGAGGAAUACAUCGGAAUCUACUUUUUCGUGGGGGCUAACGUAGGGAAACUUACGCUAAUACCGCAUACGACCUACGGGUGAAAGCAGGGGAUCUUCGGACCUUGCGCGAUUGAAUGAGCCGAUGUCGGAUUAGCUAGUUGGCGGGGUAAAGGCCCACCAAGGCGCCGAUCCGUAGCUGGUCUGAGAGGAUGAUCAGCCACACUGGAACUGAGAAACGGUCCAGACUCCGACGGGAGGCAGCAGUGGGGAAUAUUGGACAAUGGGGGCAAGCCUGAUCCAGCCAUACCGCGUGGGUGAAGAAGGACUUCGGGUUGUAAAGCCCUGUUGUUGGGAAAGAAAAGCAGCAGGUUAAUACCCCGCUGUUCUGACGGUACCCAAAGAAUAAGCACCGGCUAACUUCGUG
rnacentral:rRNA from 1 species